GGCACCAAGAGCAAAGUGAGCCCUGAGGCAUGUCUGGCACAGGAGCAGCCCUUUCUGCUGUGUGCUGUGCCCAGAAAGCUCUCUCUGGCCAUCAGGUGGCCCGGGAUCCAUAACUUGAGAACCACUGACAGGGAGAAACAGGCUUUCUCUGUUCUACUCCAACACCAUUUGGUGUUUUCUCUUACAGGCUGUUCUCUCCACCUCACUGCACAGAGAAAACACCCCAGAGUAUCCUGUUCAGAGCCACUUCCUCACCCUACAUCCCAGUGGAUGCAACUUCUGAAAGGAAGCAGAGCCGGCAAGGAUGGAGUACUUUUGGGAAUCAUUCCCAGCAUAUGGAGACUGCAUUCUGCAGCAAGCAAGGGCAGUUCCCUCAGCAAGUGGAAAAUGGGCUUCACCUCCCUGUGGUCUCCCUGUGGUUUGCUUCCCUUGCGAUAUUAUUUUUGAACAGCAGGCAAGAGCUCUGUGCUUCUUGUCCUGUUUAGUAAAUCCAAUAACCAAACCUGGCCCACUUCUGGGUGGUCCUCUCGAAAAACCCAAAAUCCAUGCCAAGGCCAUGUGAUAUAAUAAUCAUAAGAAAUACAGGGAUUGCUUUGACAUAUACCUCAAAAUCAAUUUUUCAGGAAAUGGGAUGUUUCAACCAAUGUGUCCAUUCCAUAUGGAUUUUGCCCCACACUAUUUCUUUUACUUAUUCAGUGUCUUUGUCCUUCAUUCCAGUAAAGCCAGAAUUACAAGCCUGGAAAAUGAAGAUCCCUGGUGCAUGAUGCUUGACUUGAUCUCAGGCUGGUAGACGUUAGCCUGCACAAAACGCCUCCCAAGUUAAGGAAUUCAGAUCUGGAUUUGCUGGGCAGCCCGACUGCUUUCAUGACCAAGAAAAAGAAAGAGAGAUGUUAAAAUCCAUCCAUAAAAAGCCAGCCAUGAAAACCCAAACUCAUGAUGGAUCCUGCUGAGACUUGUGUUUAACAGUUCCUUCCUGGAGUGGCUCGAGCAACAACAAGAAAAAAAAUAUUGUGAAAGUCACACCCCAUUGAAAUUGCAUCCUAAAGGGACCUGGUGAGCACGGUAAUUACCAGGAUGACUGUGAGCACCAGGGCCACGCUUGGCUCAGCGGCUGUUGUAUGUGUUAAAAUUAAAAAGGACUUUAAGCAGAUGCAAGGAAAGUGGAAAUUAGGGACCAAAGUGUAGGCUCAAGAGCGAUUCAUCAUCCCUGAUAAGGAGCCAUUAGGCUGGACUGUGGUGGGAGCAGAACCCAGGGAAGAUGGCAAUUUUAAGCUUACAAAUGCAGAGUAAUCCCUGCUUUCAGAUAAUGGAAAACUGCAUUAACCUUGUGAUGCUUCCCUGGUGGCUCCAGCACAUUCCCCCUCUUACCAACCUCUCUGCUGCUUUUUUUCUGCACCCUCUGAUUUGCACAGGUUCUGAUUUCCACCCUGCAUGGCCAAUCCCAAAAGGUUUGGUAGGCGAGAUCAGAAUCCAGCCCCAUGUUAUUUCAGCCGGAACAAGACUUCUGGCUUGUUUUAGCCAUCAGGAUAGCCUUGACAUGCUUUGACUUGCUCGCACCAAAAAUGUAAACAGCAGCCCUAAGCAGAACAAUUAACAUUGUGUCUCUGCAGAUGUUUGUUUCCCUUGAAGGAGCUUGGAAUUUGAGUGGGGAAAAGCAGAGUAGGCAGCGAACAGAGGCUAAUGCAGUCUGGGGCAAACUUCCCAACUGGAGUUUUAUAAACAGCUCAAGCUGCUUCCCUUUCUAUCAGUGAUGUCACUGCUAACCUUAGUUUGGGCUGCAGCAUUGCUAUCCAUCAUCUGCCAGCUGCUAUUCCUUCCCCACUGUAUAGCAGGAGGAAUAUGUGAGGGCGGCUGGAGACCUGAAGAGUUUCAAUUUCAUGUGAAUGGAAGCCAAUAAGCCCCAGAUUCCCUGGAUUUUUCAUACAAAUUAUCUCACCCAAGUCUGCAGAUAAUGCUGUCUAACAGUUGUAGGUUAUAAUUUCCAAACAGGGAGAUAACCUUCAUCAUGAAGCAAAAGCAAAAAUGCCAUUAGCAGAUAGAGAGGUGAUUUAACUCAACCUAGCCAUUUGCUCACAAGUCUGAAUUUAUGUCACCAGUUGUGAUGAAAUGAGUGUUUUCUUAGAUAGAUAUGGAUGACUAACACAGCGCAGAACUCAGCAAUCUUCAAAGGACUCUGAGUUUUAAAUUCCCUGGCUAAAGUCAAACAUUUGUCUUUCUUAUCACUUUCACUCAAAGGAUGUGUUUUUGCAAUAUUACAUCAGGUUCAUUUGCCAACAGAAGAGGCCAAAAGGUGAUGUCCAGGAGAUGAAUGCUGCCUUCACUAACACGACAGUAACCCAUCAGCUGCACUGGAGUUACUCUGGGAUUCCAGUGAAGGACUUGACAGCAGGACCAUAACACCCUGCGAGAACAUUCCUUAUAUCACCAUUGAAGAGCCCCAUAAAUCCAGCACUUUCCAGCUGAGACAUUUCAGAGGAGAGCUCAAAGUUGAGGUGAUCACACAGCCAGCAAAGAGGUGACUGAACAAGGAACAGCAGUAGGACACUUGCCUUCCUUCCCCUGCCACAAAAAAACCUGUUAGGUCAGAGUAAUACUAAAUGCAGAGUUAUUCUGUGUCUAAACCCAUUCUGUCUGCAAUUAUACCCCUUUGCAGUAUGAAACCUGGAGGCUUUGUGAGUAGGACAUAUUUUUCAACAGGUCACUUGCAUUUUCUCUUUCUCCUCUCAAAUACCAGCACCUGAGCUGCUCUUAUAUUCUCCUUUAAACUGUUUCUGAGCCAAUCCUGGAUGAUUCCUUGCAGUGCUGCUGUCAUCCCUCGACAGGCCAUGAAAAUCAAAGCAGAUUUCAUUUGCUUUGGAAGCAGAAGUCUUGUGAAAAAGCUUUUGUCUGUUUAGCAGCAUGGCAGAUUCAUCCCUCCAACAGUCAAAAGGCUUUAAUUUAGUGAGGUCACACAGUCAGAAAUUGGCCAACUGAACAGUCACCAGAGAAUCUCUGCAUAAGCCUGAUGUGAUUCUACAGGACAGAGAAGUACCUGCAGCAUCAGGUGGUCUCACUGCUGAACACUGUUAUUAUUACAUACAGCAAAUCCUGCAGCAUCAGUUUGCCUUUCCUGCAGCCUCCCAUGGGGCUCACAGUGAAGACGAAGAGAGCAAAGAGGAAUCAUGGGUCCAGACUGUCUUAGGCACUGGAAGGGCUGAAGGUGACAGCCUGGGCGAGGGAACAGAGACAGCUCUGCACACACGCUGGUGGGAUUGCAAUACACGAUUGUGACCGCUGCAAACACCUUCAAAAUAAAGGCAAAGUUCCAGCUGAGCGUGAUGUUCAGACUCCAGCUCCAGCAUUAAGGUAUGUGAAGAAUUCAUUCAACCUACUCCUGCACCUUGUUGAACAAAGAUAAAUUGUUUUCAUGCCCAUAGUUUCUGGACAGUUGUGUCAAACCUUUGGCUAUACUUAACCAAAGACCUGUCUAAACCCAGAUGCACCACUGGGUAAGUAAGUUUAAGUCCUGCCACAGUGACAUUAAAGAAGGCAUCACAAGGAGCCAGCUUUGUGACUUGAGACAGAUGGAUCAGCUGGGAAUACCUAGUCAAGGAUGACCAGAAGGCUUCUGCACAGAAAAAGCUAAGGGAAGGCACUCUAACACAGUGAAUUCAGCCAUCACUAACACUUAUCGAGUGCAUCACUAGGAAAAAAACUCAAAGGUAAGUAUAAUUCCAGUCUUUGCACUCCCUGUCUUCAAAGAGCUUCCAAAGGCAGCUUGAAUUCUUCACCCUGAAGCUGGCAUGCUCAGAGUGCCAUUGGAAGCCACUGCUGGCAGUCGCUGUUAUCGCAGCCCCAGCUCCCCACGCUGGCAGCAGCAGGAGCGCGGCUGUAACUGGAUCCGUCCCAGCCCGGAGAGCCUGGGCAGCCCCACUGCCAGCCCCACUGCCAGCCCCACUGCCAGCCCCACUGCCAGCCCCACUGCACGGUGCAUAUCUGCCCUGCACACUAACUAGAGACUUGAUGAAACAUUAUCAUACAUGAAGGACUAAUUAGGUGUGCUGGGCCAUUAGCCAUCUCUGAACAUUGACUGAUGAAAAAUGUAAUUAAUGGCAGCUUUCAUAAACAGACUGCAGAAUGGAGAAUUGAAUUAAAAGAAAAACAGCUGUUGCUAAUGGAAAUAAGGGCCAUUUCUUGAUUAAAAUAUCUGCCUGUCUUUCCGUGGGAGUUUUUCCAGAGUAGUGGGAUGGAAGAGUGUAACAAGAUCUGGGAGCAGAGAAUCUGCAAAGCUUCCUGCUGAAGAAAGUACAACUUCUCUGGCUGAUGUUUUUCUGGAAUUCGCUGGAUUCCAGAAUCUGAUGUUAAAAUGCUGGUACAGUUAGAUCACUAUGAAAAGCCAGUUUGCUCAACAGCAAUCUUCCAGGCAGAGUUACAGAAUGCCAGAUGUUUGAACCCAGAGAAAAUAACAGCUCUCCUUUGUUUAUGCUUCCAAUGGGUGCAUUCAGAUUCUAGCUCAUCAAAAUGAAGAUAUUAUGGGCAACUAUGUCUCAUUUUCUUGUAAGGAAGCUGGAAUACCAAGAGCUGGUUGAGGAACCAAGGGACUGAAUUUUAAAUGCAGCACAGGCAGUCCUUGUUCCCAUCUCCCUGCCUUGCAGCACCAUCUACAGAGCUGCUGUCAGAAUCACACCCACUGCAAACCUCGGGAGGCUGGACAAACAAACCUGGCUCGGUGAUUAACCUGCUCAGGAAACUGUGAGUUUGACAGCCCUAAAACCUGAAAUGCUUCUGCAGCAAAAUACAGGCAAGAGGAUGAUCAAUUUUCCCAGGAGCCCCUCAAUUCCCGUGCAGAGAAUGCACCUCUAGCAAUGACAGAGGUAACCCAGACACUUUGCUGUUUUUUUUCUCCAGAAACUUUCCUACAGAAGAACUUCUCUGGCACAGAAGUGUUCCAUCUGCAAAAGGAUGGUGGGAUUUUUCAGGGCAAAAUGCACUUCACAGUCCAUUAAUCCCGAAUUUGGCACAAGCUGAUUGCUCAGGCUUCAAAAGAGUGCAAUAUUUCACCUCCUCCGUGUAUCUACUCAAUUACACAAGAUAAAACAUGGUGGGGAUUGACCUUUAUCUGAUCACUGGAGCAUAAGGUCUGCUUGCCCUUCCCAUGGCCUGGUACCCAAACAGUGAUACAAGGACAGAAGCACAAUGAAGGAGUUUCUAAGCACAAGCGAAGGGGUUUUUAGUUUAAAAGCUGGAGAUUGAAAUAUACCUCUGAUUUUUUUUUUUUUAAAGUAUGCUUAUCUAUUCACCUCGAAAUAGAAUGUUCUUCUGAAUAUGGAGUGGUUUUUUCCACCAGAAGCCAGAUCCAAAUGCCACAGCAGUAACUGGAAAGUUCCCCCCCAGGCCCUGGCUGUGGGAGGAGGUGGGUGCAGGAAUGUGCCAGCCCAAGCAGCGCUGCUGUCUCCUGCCUCACUGGGAGCAGCACAGAGAACGGGCAUUCAAAGGCAGAUAAAAGGGCAAAGCAAGACACAGGCUCCAAACCUAGGGCAGUGGGCUUAGGCACAGGCAUGCAACAGCCCUGAGCAUUGCCAGGACACACUGUAUUAUGUACAGGACACAGGAUGUAUUAUGGGAUGUGUGCUGUCUUAGGAGGGGAAAACAUGAUCUGGGUUUUUUAUGAUCAGAUUGAGUGCAACAUUCUAAUGUGGUCGUUUGCCCUUGCCAUGCCUGCAGGGAGGACACACCAGGACCAAUUCCUCUGAUGGCUGAACAUAUUCUUCUCAUUUCCAGCCUAUAUUUAUUCAUUACCAGGCAGAAUAGAACUACUAGCUCUUAUCUGUUAUGAAAACCAAAUACCUUCCAAAGUCAUCAGGUUAGUCCAGCACUGUCCACCUUCAGUAAAUAAAUCUGUGUUGCCUUUUAGCCCAGUUCUCUCUGCUACCAUGUCUGCUAUUAUUCUUUCUUGCUAAAUUUAUCCCAAAGUCUUGUAUUUUAUUUGGAUCAGACUUCAAUGAUUUUUCUUCUUUUUAAAAGCUGGAAGAAUUUUUCCUUUUCUCAAAUUGUGUUGUGUUGCUCAUGCAGGGAUGCUGUUAGACAAGCAGAUAUAAAGUGCUCUUGGAUGUCUGAGUCAGAAAUCAGAAUAUUCCAGCUGAAAGGUGUCUGUAACGAUCAUUUAGCCCAAAUCAUUGUCACAUUAUGAUCUUGAUGAUUUGUUCCACUUGUAUGAGGUAAUUUCUGUCUCCAUGCAUUCAUUUCCUCUGUGUACAUUUCCACUACAUAUUACACAUUCAUUUGUGUCCUGCCUCCCCCCUCUUUCAACACCUCUCCCCCUCCUCUCCUUCCUCCCCUGCUAUGUAUGCCUGAAGAACAUUUUGCUAUUUGCUUUAAUUUCUUUUGCUAGAUUUACCUUAGCUUUACUUCUGGCACGUUUCCCUUUAUGCCUACACUUCCUAACUUCUAAGACGUAGUUUUCUUUGAUUAAUCCUUUUUUCCAUUCCUUCCACUCCCUUUGCUUAUUCCUAAUAUCCACUUUGAAGUGGUUAUUCACCAAGUCUGGACCCAUUCUUUGCAGAAUUUUAUCCCUCUGUGUACAAGUCCCAAAUACUUUUAUAGCCCCUGCAUAAAUUCCAAACCUGCCCAACAUCCAAAACUUUUUUAAAGUUGGCAAAAAUCAGAAAGCAAAAUAUGUUAAUUGCUGCUGUGUACCAACUUCCAGCACAUUGGGGUUCCUGCUGGGUUCAUGUUCUCCAUCCAAAUGAGAUAUUCCAAGAGGUUUUUUCUAAAAGAUCACAGCAAGACCACUGAUGGCAAGAGAAAUUUCUCCUGACCUCCAGCCACAGCAGCAGUGCCAAGAGAAGGCAGGAAGGUCAUUAGCUGUUCUCAUAGUAUAAAAAUUGUUACAGUAGAUUAAAAAUUAGCAUGAAGAAAUGAAGCACACACAUAUAUUUUUAAAGCCUUUGUCAGGCAGCCAAAGUGAAAGCAGAUUUCACCAGACCACGAAGAAUGAAAUGCGUGCGUUAGGCCUUGUGUGGCUCGAGCUUAUUUCCUUGCUAAAUUCCAAGUUUCAGGUCUCUCCCGCUGAGGCAGAAGUGCUGCUCAAGAAAACUCUUCCAAAUAUCUUAAAAUAGCAGAGGGAAUUUUCCCCCUAUUUUUCCUUGUACAAGUUUGCCCAGGCGGUUCAACAAAGCAAGAUAACAUUUGCAGAAAA